AUGCAGACUGUGUCCAGUUUAUUUGUUCAUAAUGCUGCUUGUCACUCCUCUCCUCCUCUCUUACUUACAUUCAUUCUUCCUUGUCCAGUCACAUUCUUCAGUCAUUCUGUUCUCGUUGAGCCAUUUCAACCAUUUUCAGAUUUGAUCCUCCAUUUCUGGGUGUGCAAUUGGGCCCCUCCUCUUUUUUCUUUUGGCACUUUUCUUGUUUUCCUCUUUUUGUGGUAUUUUGUUAUUUUCCGGCUUUCUGUAGGACUUUUCUUCAUUCUUCGACCUCGCUCAUGUUGCUUCACUCCGUCUUUAAGCGUCCUCCUCAGCCUCCUCCUCAAACUCACCUUCCUCCUCGGCAGUGGCGUCCUGGUACUGCUGGUACUCAGACACCAGGUCGUUCAUGUUGCUCUCUGCCUCAGUGAACUCCAUCUCGUCCAUGCCCUCUCCGGUGUACCAAUGGAGGAAGGCCUUGCGGCGGAACAUGGCGGUGAACUGCUCAGAGAUACGCUUGAACAGCUCCUGGAUGGCCGUGCUGUUGCCGAUGAAGGUGACGGCCAUUUUGAGGCCUCUUGGAGGAAUGUCGCAGACGGCGGUCUUGACGUUGUUGGGGAUCCAUUCAACAAAGUAGCUGCUGUUCUUGUUCUGGACGUUGAGCAUCUGCUCGUCCACCUCCUUCAUGGACAUGCGGCCACGGAAGACAGCGGCGACAGUGAGGUAGCGACCGUGACGCGGGUCACAUGCGGCCAUCAUGUUCUUGGCGUCGAACACUUGCUGGGUGAGUUCCGGCACGGUGAGGGCACGGUACUGCUGGCUCCCCCUGCUGGUGAGGGGGGCGAAGCCGGGGAUGAAGAAGUGGAGACGGGGGAAAGGCACCAUGUUCACAGCCAAUUUACGGAGGUCGGCGUUGAGCUGGCCGGGGAAACGCAGGCAGGUGGUCACUCCGCUCAUGGUGGCCGACACCAGGUGGUUGAGGUCUCCGUAAGUCGGCGUGGUGAGUUUGAGGGUCCGGAAGCAGAUGUCGUAGAGAGCCUCGUUGUCAAUACAGAAGGUCUCGUCCGUGUUCUCUACAAGUUGGUGAACCGAGAGGGUGGCAUUGUAGGGCUCCACCACCGUGUCUGA
rnacentral:lncRNA from 1 species